UGUUCAAGUAGUGGCUUGGACGUCGAUGAGGACGUCGACAGCUUGAGUGGGGGAGAAUUGUCACGAGCUUAUCCGCAGGCAUGUCGCAGGGGGUGCCGGCGUGAGCAUGGCACGGUGCUACGAAGGAUUUGGCUUGGCCAAAAUUUGCAAUGCUACUCGAUCAUUUGGAACCCCUUAGGUGAGAUUUGGGGAGAUGCCUUGCU
rnacentral:lncRNA from 1 species